rnacentral:sRNA from 1 species
GUCAAAGGAAAAACCUAUAAAAAUUGUUAUACAUUCGUUACUCAAAAUCUUGAUACAUUGCUGAUCAUGGAUUCUCUUACUUUGAACAUGUACUAUGAAAACAUCUAUAAAACCAAAAUACGCUUUAGUGUUCAUGUUGGAAAAUUUUAUUGUACAUGUCAUUGAAAGGAAAAGUAACAAAGUUUGAAACUUUUGUUAUUCGUAUUUGGAAAACCUUUUAAAGGCUCUUAUAGAAGCCAAAUUACAUUACAGUAUUGUCAUCCUGUAUGAAAAAUUUAUUUCAUAUUAUAUAAUACUAUGUAUUCCAUAAUUUUUUGACAGUGUUUAUACAUUUUAAAGUUACAUGUUUAUGAAUAUUUUCACAGCAAAAGGGUUUUAUUUCAAAUCCAGUCCACAUUGUUUCAAAUGAACAGAGCUUAAAUGUCAAUGCAUACUCCAUGCACAUAUAAAUGUGCAUAAAACCUUCAUGUGUGAUUGGUUUAAUUUUGAUAUUGAUCAUGAAUGUUUGUUGCUUUAUUUCACAAAAAAUAAUGUGAAUGAAUAUAAAAAUGUUAGCAUGAUAUAAAUAAUUGCAAGCUCGU